rnacentral:rRNA from 1 species
GCAAGUCGAAACGGCUGCACAGCACUAGCAAUACUGUGGGUGGCGAGUGGCGGACGGGUGAGUAAUGCAUCGGGACCUACCCAGACGUGGGGGAUAACCUCGGGAAACCGGGACUAAUACCGCAUACGUCCUACGGGAGAAAGCGGGGGACCUUCGGGCCUCGCGCGGUUGGACGGACCGAUGUGCGAUUAGCUAGUUGGUAGGGUAAUGGCCUACCAAGGCGACGAUCGCUAGCUGGUCUGAGAGGAUGAUCAGCCACACUGGGACUGAGACACGGCCCAGACUCCUACGGGAGGCAGCAGUGGGGAAUAUUGGACAAUGGGCGCAAGCCUGAUCCAGCAAUGCCGCGUGUGUGAAGAAGGCCUUCGGGUUGUAAAGCACUUUUAUCAGGAACGAAAUACCACGGGUUAAUAACCUAUGGGGCUGACGGUACCUGAGGAAUAAGCACCAGGCUAACUUCGUGCCAGCAGCCGCGGUAAUACAAAGGGUGCAAGCGUUAAUCGGAAUUACUGGGCGUAAAGGGUGCGUAGGCGGUUGUUUAAGUCUGUCGUGAAAUCCCCGGGCUCAACCUGGGAAUGGCGAUGGAUACUGGGCAGCUAGAGUGUGUCAGAGGAUGGUGGAAUUCCCGGUGUAGCGGUGAAAUGCGUAGAGAUCGGGAGGAACAUCAGUGGCGAAGGCGGGCAUCUGGGACAACACUGACGCUGAAGCACGAAAGCGUGGGGAGCAAACAGGAAUAGAUACCCUGGUAGUCCACGCCCUAAACGAUGCGAACUGGAUGUGGGUUCACCUCGGAGAUCA